AGCAGCCGCGGUAAUUCCAGCUCCAAUAGCGUAUAUUAAAGUUGCUGCAGUUAAAAAGCUCGUAGUUGAAUUUCGGGACUAAUAUGUCGGUCGUGCCUCGGUACGUACUGGUUUAUUGGUUUCUCCUUUCUGAAGAACCAUGAUGUCAUUUAUUUGGUGUCGUGGGGAAUCAGGACUGUUACUUUGAAAAAAUUAGAGUGUUUAAAGCAGGCUCACGCUUGAAUACAUUAGCAUGGAAUAAUGAAAUAGGACGUUUGAUUCUAUUUUGUUGGUUUCUAGGAUCGACGUAAUGAUUAAUAGGGAUAGUUGGGGGCAUUAGUAUUCAAUUGUCAGAGGUGAAAUUCUUGGAUUUAUUGAAGACUAACUACUGCGAAAGCAUUCGCCAAGGAUGUUUUCAUUAAUCAAGAACGAAAGUUAGGGGAUCGAAGACGAUCAGAUACCGUCGUAGUCUUAACCAUAAACGAUGCCGACUAGGGAUCGGAUGAUGUUAAUUUUUUAAUGACUC
rnacentral:rRNA from 1 species